UGGCAGGGCCGGCUGGGGCCCUGGGAGAGGUGACGACAGCAGGCGCUGACUCCUCCUGGCAGAGUCCAGCGUGUGUCCCUGCAGCCAGGGCAAGCCGCGCUCAGUGGGGGUUCUGGGUCGCGGGUCUGGGAUGGGCAGGAGGCAGUGCUUGGGGGCGGGCAUGGGAGACGGAAAUGGAGGAAGGAGAGGAGUGAUGAGCAGCCCUGGAGCUGCCCCUCCGAGGGACUUGGCAGGCCACAGGCAGCUGCCUGACAGCAGGUGGACAGAGGUGUCCAGGGAAGUUCUGAGGCGACACAGGUGUCAGGUGCUGUGGCCCGGCAGGAUCAGGGGUCCUGUGGUGUGCCGAGCACCCCCAAAAGCUUUCUCGUUUAGGUCUGGACUUGGGGUUUUUACCAGCUCCAGGGGUUGGAUAGCUUGUCCCACGUCACUGUGCCAGCGAGUGUCACAGAGCGCGAAGCCCGGUUUCCCGUGCCUUUUCCCCAGUGUGCUGUUCUAGGCUGCCGCCUGCGGUGGACAGGAGCAGGACCAGGGACAACGCCGGUUCCUCUUACAGUUAGAAGUGGCUGGGCAUCCCUGGGAUAGGAGCUCCUGACCUUCCCGGCAGCCGGCAGCCGGCCGCCCUCCGUCUCAGGCUCCUCCCACACUCAGUGACCGAGGCCCAGCCACGAUUUGGGGUGUCUGGGGCCCCCUCCUGUGGCCACUGACCUGCAAGGCACUUGGCCGCGGUCCUGGGCAGAGGCGGGAGCAGGGUGUGGGGCAGCUCGGUAUGGCGUUCCGUGGCUCGCCCCGGGGCUCGAGUGCCUGUUGUGAGGGGAACGGGAGCGGUAGCCUGGUUGGCCAGGUGUGGAGGACCUGUCCUUGCCGUCGCUCUCUGCCUUCCAGUGGAGCAUGGCACGUCCACUGUCGGCCAGGAUUUUUGUUUUGUGCCCUUGAGUUUUGCUUACAUAUACCUUGUUCACAGGGAAAUUAUGUGGAUUAAUUAAACUUUUUCAAAACCUUUUGCAAAAAUUUUCAGCUGUAUUUGGAUGAAUUUGCAAAAAUCCUCACAUAUGCUCUGGUUGAAAACUUUGAAAGGCGGUGCUGCCGUGUGUUAGGAGCUGUGCUGGGCUCUGUUCUGAAGGAGCUGUUGCGGUUCUGUCUGUAUGUAAAUUAGAAGGUGAGACUUGCCUAACAGAAAAAAAGGCUGGAAAACGGUGACGUUUAUGAAGGUAAAAUAUAACAAGACCCUUAGAACAGUGAGUUUAAAAUAAUUUAGUUCGGUUUUUUAAAAAAUCCAUUUGUCAUUUGAAAGUUUAUAAAAAAGAUAAUGUCCUGUGGUUUCUGUAAACAUGAACACUAGAUUCUUUUUCCAGAUUACAGAUUUUUUUUUCAUUGCUUUUUAAAUUCCUGUGGUGUUUCCUUUCCUUGGGCAGUGUCGCGUUCCAGUUCACAGAUGGCCGCUAGAACCGUGAGCUUGGUGUUCUCGGCGUUCUGAGAGAAGGCUGCAGUUUGUGGGGGUGAAGUUGCCUCUGGAUGAACACCCCAAGAACACCAGGGUGGAGGUGGACUUCAGUGAACACUGAUGUGGGCUCAGGUGGAGCGGCCAGGCCGUGCCGUAUGUCCCAGGAGCGCCCGACUGAGUUCGUUCAUCCUGAUGCUGUUUGUUAUGGACGCGGCAGGAUGUGCUGCUUCUCCGCCCAUCGUGUCACUGUGUGAUGAAGCAGGGCCUGGCUGUUUGUAGCCCUGAAUCAGCUUUGUACCGUCCUGAUGUCCUCCCAGUGAUGCCAGAGUGGAGAGUGUCCUCUUCGGAGAAGAGGAGGUGGUGCUCAGAGGGGUGACGUGCUUGGUCCACGGUUGUGGGUACGGGAGGUGGUGCUCAGAGGGGUGACAUGCGUGGUCCACGGUUGUGGGUACGGGAGGUGGUGCUCAGAGGGGUGACGUGCGUGGUCCACGGUUCCUGGGUACGGGAGGUGGUGCUCAGGGGGGUGACGUGCUUGGUCCGCGGUUGUGGGUACAGGAGGUGGUGCUCAGGGGGGUGACGUGCUUGGUCCGUGCUUCCUGGGUACGGGAGGUGGUGCUCAGAGGGGUGACGUGCGUGGUUCGCGGUUGCUGGGUACGGGAGGUGGUGCUCAGAGGGGUGACGUGCGUGGUCCGUGGUUGCUGGGUACGGGAGGUGGUGCUCAGAGGGGUGAUGUGUGUGGUCCGCGGUUCCUGGGUACGGGAGGUGGUGCUCAGAGGGGUGACGUGCGUGGUCCACGGUUCCUGGGUACGGGAGGUGGUGCUCAGAGGGGUGACGUGCGUGGUCCACGGUUCCUGGGUACGGGAGGUGGUGCUCAGAGGGGUGACGUGCGUGGUCCGUGGUUCCUGGGUACGGGAGGUGGUGCUCAGAGUGGUGACGUGAUUGGUCUGCGGUUGUGGGUACGGGAGGUGGUGCUCAGAGGGGUGACAUGCUUGGUCCGCGGUUGCUGGGGUAUCAAGUGAGCGACUCUACCCUGCCUAAAUCUCUUUUUUGUUCAUGACACUUCUCAGUAGGGUGGUCACUUGGUAGAAGUAGUGGUGUUGUGUUGGCUUUACUAAUUAGCCAGGGUGAAUUUUCACUGCACAUUAUAGAAUGAGCCUGAAUCCCGUGGAGAACUGGCGCCUUCAGGUGUUGCUGCCUCGGGUGUUUCUGGGUAACUGUGGAUGUUAGACACACACUGUAUUUAUGCUCCUUGCUACCUGUUGUCUGAAGUGGUUAUCUGACGAUGUCAGUUUGAGCUUUUUAUGAAGAUUUCCUUUGAGGUUUUACAUUAUUUUGUCAUCAGUUUCAGAAUUGUAAAAACAGAGGCAUCGUGUGCCACCCCCCCCCCCCCCCCAGCCGUGCCCGUGUGGAGAGCCUGAGGCGGAGACCACGGGCGCCGUCAGUCUGCUGGCGAGCUGGCGAGCUCUGGGUGACCGGGUGUGCAGGGCCCUCGGCAGUGCUGUCUUUCUGAUGCCAGUGGCUGGCUGCUCACGGGUGAACCCGAGUUCAGCGCUUCCUUGAGCUGAGUGCUGUGGGUCACGCGUGCUUCAGUUUCGUGUGCAGCUCUGAGUUACUGGUGGAUGUGAUUUAGUGAGAUCCUUGUUGAGUCUUUCCCUGUUUUAGGAUGUGACACCAAAGUUUAGGGUCUUGAAGGUUUGUUUUGCCAAAAUGUUUAAUUUGGGGCAAUAGCUUUUUUUUUUUUUAAGAUUUUUUAUUUAUUUAUUUUAUUUAUUUAUUUGAAAGUUACCAGAGAGGCAGAGGCAGAGAGAGAGAGAGAGGUCUUCCGUCUGCUGGUUCACUCCCCAGAUGGCUGCAAUGGCUGGAGCUGGGCUGAUCCAAAGCCAGGAACCAGGAGCCUUUUCCAGGUCUCCCACACAGGUGCAGGGGCCCGAGGACUUGGGCAUCUUCUACUGCUUUCCCAGGCCAUAGCAGAGAGUAGGAUUGGAAGUGGAACAGCCUGGCUCAAACCGGCGUCCAUAUGGGAUGCUGGCACUGCAGGUGGUGGCUUUACCUGCUACACCUCAGCGCCACCCCACCCCACCCCCACUUUUCAAUUUUUUUUUUUUUUUUAAUUUGUCUGAAAGGCAGAGUUAGAGAGAGAAAGGGAGAGACAGAGAGAGGUCUGUCUUCUGCUGGCUUACUCCCCAGAUGGCCACAGUGGCCGGAGUUGUACCAGUCUGAAGCUAUGAACCAGGAGCUUCUGGGCCUCCCAUGCUGGUCCAGGGGCCCAAGUAUUUGGGCCGUCUUCCACUGCUUUCCCAGGCCAUCAGCAGGGAGCUGGAUCGUAAGUGGAGCAGCUGGGACUCAAACCGGAUCCAAAUGGGAUAUUGGCGUUGCAGGCAGUGGCCUUCCCACCAUUCCAAGUGCCAGCCUUGCUGUAUAGCUUUUUAUAUUUUUUGUUUCCCUUUAAAAGGCACACCGUGGGAGGAUUUGAAGCAGUGCCUUCUGAAGAGGUUUUGUUUGCUGGUAAACUGCUGUGUUCUAGCUGCCUCUCUGUGUGAGGCCUCGCACCCCACAGUUGCAUACUUGGGUUUUCCUCAAAAGGGGCAGGGGUUGAUUUUUCGUUACCUGUGCCCAUUCUUUGGGAUGUAAGAUUUUAAUAAAAACAUGUUGAAGUUGUGUGGAAUGUAAGUGCUUUGUCUACUGAAACUCGUGCUGAGUGUGCCUUCUCCACUGGUCCUUGAGGAGUCAGUGAGCCCGGGCACCUGCCUCUGGGGAAUCUGUUUACUGUUUUCAGGCGUCUCAGGUGUUUUCUGUUCUCCAUUUUCUCCAAAAACUAGGAGGAAGUAACUUUUUUUAAAGUUAAAAACUUCAGGCCUAUGUUGAGAACAAAACGUCCUGAGGGAUUCUGAAAAUUCUGUGUUCUCAAGCAUUUAUUUUAAAAUUUUUUUAAAGAUUUAUUUAUUUAUUGGAGAGGCAGAGAAAGACGUGUAACAUCGCUGGUUCACUCCCCAGAUGGCCUUAACAGCCGGAGCUGUGCCAGUCAGGAGCCAGAAGCUUCCUCUGGGUCUCCCACGUGGGUACAGGGGCCCGGGGACUUGGGCCAUCUUCUGCUUUCCCAGCCAUAGCAGGGAGCUGGAUCGGAAGUGGAGCAGCCAGGGCUUGAACCGGUGCCCAGAUGGGAUGCUAGCACUGCAGGUGGCAGCUUUACCCGCUCCGCCACAGCGCUGGCCCCCUCAAGUGUUUAUUGUAACUGUUCCCACUCACGUGAUCCUGAAGUGAAAUAUGCUUGUGAUGGAAGUUUUAAUAAGCUGAUGAAUGUGCAUUUAAAUGUUCUGUGUUAAAAGUAGCAACACACUGGUUUUAAGACCCAGAGAGCUGUUGCAGGGCGUCCAUUCUAAUGAUAGAAUAAUCAUACUGUGUCUGUGGUUUAUCAAAAUAGCCACCGUUUCUAAAAUAAGAUUAUGACAUGUAAAAUUCUUACUAAUUUGGUAUUUCCAAAACUUUCAGUUUUAUGUGGUCUUAUCAGUUUAAUCAGUGUCUGAACAACCAAAACCCAGUUUUACCCCUGAUGAAUUAGUUACGCGCUGCAGUGUGUCCUUGCAGAGGACUGUUUUCUCUGGAUGAAAAGAAAACAAACACAGCUUGGACUAAGCUUCUUCCUCCCCCUUUUUCUUACUGAAGCUACAGUGAUAAAGGAUCUUUUCCUCUUGUAUUUAUAAUCCUACCUCUUGGUGCAGUCUUUCGGAGCUUUCCUAAGACACCACAUGCCACAAAAAUGAAGGCGAACUGGUUUGUUGAGCUGUGCUUGGACCCACAGAGCUUCUGCAGCACAGUGUAGAAAGGGCCACUGAGGUGUCAGGGCCUUUUGUUUACUUGACGGUUCAGUUUUCGUUCCCCUGCCUGUCCUGGGUAUAGAAGUGCCUUUCUGGCUCUAUUUUGUUUUUUUCAUGGAUGCGAUUCUCAGAGGAAUAAAGGGCGUGCUGGCUCUCAGCAGCGUCUGUGGUCCCCGAGAGGGUGAGGGUGAGGGCCUCGGCGGUCCCCGUGAGGGUGAGGGCCUCGGCGGUCCCCGUGAGGGUGAGGGCCUCGGCGGUCCCCGUGAGGGUGAGGCCCUCGGCGGUCCCUGGGCGCCUGGAUAUUCGCGUUGGCCAUGGCAGAGCUCUGACUCGUGUGCUCCUGGUGCAGGCUUGUGCUGCUGGCCGUGCCGGGUAGGACCUGCUGUACACGUGGGCCAGCCUGGUUGUCUGCCAACACUUGAUGUGCUUGUCUGUGUAGGAUUAACACUGGAACAGAAGUCAGCGUUGCUUCACCCUGGCCUCCACAAAAUGAGUAAAAAUGACCGGCACGCCAUCAGCAGUCUCUGUCCUGGUUGGGUUUCCUAGUAAGAGGCUUAGGAUUCCAAGUCUUCUGCUCUUAGGACCUUGGCUGGCUGCUGAAUGCUACCCCAUGAAGUACCCUUCCCGUGGAAGGUGGGCCCUAGGUGUGCUGAGUUAGACUUGGUAAAUAUCUCUGCAGUUAGGAUUCCUUCAAGAUGAUAAAGUUAGGAAUUCAGAAUAGAAAGUAAUAAAGAUGACUCAAUGCCAGGACAAACUUGUGAUCACAGUGGAGUGUGCCCAGUAUUAAAGUGCUGUUUCCGACCCUCUUAAGUUGUAGAGAAACAGGUCUUGGAAAUCCCUUGCGUGAUUGUCGAGCAGACACCACGCGAGACGCCUGUGUCCCACAUCGCCCUGUCGGGGUUCACUGUCUGGCUCCAGCCUCUGACUUGUUUCCUGCCGGUGCAGACUCCAGGUGGCGGUGGCGGUGGCUCAGGUGACUGGGUCCCUGUCACCCAUGUGGUAGGUGGAGCCUUGAUCUCCAGCCCAGCUCCUGGCUUCAGCCUGGCCCAGUCCUGGUUGUUGUGGAGACUUGGGGAGUGAACCAGCAGAUAGGAAUGUGCUUGCUCUCUGCCUCUGAAAUAAAUACAUUUAAAUUUUUAAUUUAAAGAAGUGUGUGUAGGGGCCGGUGCUGUGGCGUAGCAGGUAAAGCCACCGCCUGCUGUGCCGGCAUCCCAUGUGGGCGCCAGUUCGAGUCCUGGCUGCUCCACGUCCGAUCCAGCUGUAUGCUAUGGCCUGGGAAGGCAGUAGAAGAAACUCUGUGGACCAGCGCAGCUCUGGCUGUUGUGGCCAGUUGGGGAGUGAGCCAGCGGAUGGAGGACCGCUUUCUCUUGCUCUCUGCCUCUCCUUCCUACGUCUCUGUAACUGUGACUUUCAAGUAAAAUAAAUAAAUCUUUAAAAAAAAAAAAGUGUAUGGAAUUGAUGAGCUUUGCUUCCAUGGUGAAUGGCUAAUGAAAAACUACCAAAAAUUCUUUUAAGCCAGGGCUGGAAUACACUGCGUGGGCAUUCUUCACUGUUGCCUCUGAGUGAAAUACUAAUAGACAUGUACCCUGCACACAGAUAGCUUGUUUGAAGUGGGUGGAGGUGAGAAGGUGAGGGUUGCAGACCCAGCUACAGCUGAGUGUCAGGAGGUGUGCAGUGUGGAAUGUGUCUUGGCAAGCUAGACGCAGCCUUGGAGGGAAGAGGCUGCAUCGAAACCCCAGCUCUGGGUUGCUCUGUGUGCUUGGAUCUGCAGGUUGCGCCCUGUGAAGUUGGGGAUGAGACCUGCAGGGCUGCCGGGAGCAUCGGGUGCCUCUGUGGAGCGUGGCCGGCACCCUGACCUUUGGUUCGUGCCGUUGUCACCGUAGGCAGCAGGACAGUCCAUUCUGUGAGAAUUCUGUCAUCCUUUGGCUUAGCACAGUUCCAGAAACAUGACGGGGCCAGUAGCUGUGUUCUUUUACAGUCCUUAGGCUUUGCCUGGGUGGUGUGGAGUGAAUUACAUGGAUUCUGAAUGCGGGGAGAGUAAGGGGCUUCUCUGGGUCUCUGCUGCAUGCACAUCCCAGCACGGAAGAAUUCCUCCAGAGCCAGACCUGCUGGGCCCCUGGCGGCUGUCCUGGUUCACUUGCCAGCCACUGUAGGACGCCUGUGGGUGCGGAGCAUGGUGGGUUGGAAAACUCGGCAUUCGACUUGCUGAUGUGCUUGGACAGAAGUAGACAGCUUACCAAGUCGCUCAUUGUCCAAGUGGAGGGUUCAGUGUUUUCUUCCUGUUUUCCUGUCUUAACCGUCGUGUGGUUCCCUUCUCGUGAGCACCGGAUUUUGUGGAAGUGACAUUUUGCAUGCAUUUCUGAUACAUCCUCUUAGUGAGUUUUCAGACAGCCGUGAAAGUGACCGGGAGCCUCUUCAGAGCUGUGUGCAGCCUGAUCUCUGCGGUGUUUCUUGACAGGCGGAGUUAAAGACAGGGAGAGGCAGAGAGAGAGAGAGAGGGAGAGGGAGGGAGGUCUUGCAUUCUUUGGUUCUCUCCCCAAAUGGUCGCAAUGGCCAGGGUUGGUCCUGACUGAAGCUAGGAGCUUCUUCUGGGUCUCCCAUGUGGGUACAGGGGCCCAAGUACUUGGACCAUCUUCUACUGCUGUCCUGGGGGCGUUAGCAGGGAGCUGGAUGGGAAGUGGAGCAAUGGGACUCGAACUGGCACCUAUAUGGGAUGCCGGCGCCGCAGGCUUUACCUGCUAUGCCACAGUGAAUUUAAGGAAGCAAAUGUCCAGAUUAGUCUGUGCAACAUCUUUGUUGCACAUUUGGAGUCGUUUUCAGGGAUCCCACCGGUGCCCCCUUCCUGUGGUGCACAGUGCCCACGUAGGCUCCCAGCCCCUGAGCCCUGGCGUUGUCUACCACGUGUCGUAUUUAACGUCUGUUGGUGACUCUCUGGGGGAGAGGGGCCUUAAGUGCUGGCUGAUUCUCAAGAGUCUAGGGUCUCCUUCCCGAAAGUUUGGGCCACUUAAUUUUAAAACUUAGGUGUGAGCGUUUGAGCAUUUGGCGAGAAGCAGUGAAGUCUUGGGGUGGGACUUCAGUAGCUCACAGCUGAACCCUGUUCACGUGAGUGCACGUUGGUGGCACGUCACUGAGCAAGGACAGGGUUCUCCUCCCCUGCUGCCUACAGGAGAUCUGGGUGGGAUCCUGUGAGUCAGCGUAGGACAAAGGGAGAAAGCAAGUGGCUGAAUUAGGGAUUGUUAGUGGGAGCAGCACUGCAUUGUCUUUCUAAGAAGGAACACAUGCUGACAGCUCAGCCUUGCCGGCUGGGGUUUCUGUCGUUUGUUCAGCAGAGUCUGCUGCGGGUACUCCUACAAUUGAUUCCAUUUAUUGAGUCUGUGCCAGGCGCUGGGCAGCAUUCUUGACGUACAUACUCCCACUCCUCGCCCUGAGGACAGAGGGUCUGCCUGGAGCUGGGCUGUUUCACAUUCAUUGAGUCCUGGCCCAAGGGCUGCGCGGUGGUCGCGUGGUCACAGUGGAUUUCUGUGCUGGACCUGCUCUGUCCCGAGGGCUGUGCGUCACCACGUGGGAAUCAGCUGUCUGCAGUGAGACCUUCUCUCCUGCUGCCUUUCGGGUCCUGUCCUCUGAGCUCUGCCCCUGGCUUUGUGUGUUCCCUGUGGGCAUCCUUCCACCCCGACGUGGGUGAAAGGGAGAGCAGGUGUCAGCACAGGGUGACAUGAGACAGUCCCUGGAGACAGCAGGGCGUCGUAUGUAGGGCCGGGGCUGGCUCUUCACAUCAGUCCUCCCUGCCUCUCUCCUGUCUGUCCUCCUCCCCCCACCCCGUUUGUUCUUCAUGAAAUGCAGGUUCUCCACGUCUCUUCCACCAGCGGCCGGGCCUUUCCGCAGCAGGCCUGGUCUUCACAGUUCGUUCCUCCGGGCAGAUUGCCUUCCUGGGAGCUUGCGUUCUGACCCUGCAGUCUAGGACGGAAUGUCCCGCAGCUAAAACGCACCCGGGAAAACACUCAGAUCCUCGUCUGCUUCACCGCUAUUCCGGAAACUUUACAAAAUAUUAGAGUUGUUUUUUUUCCCCCAGUCUGGCAAGAAUAAUGAGCUUGUGCUAAAUUUGAAUUUUUAUUUAUUUUCAUUUUGUGUGAAAGGCGGAGAGACAAGCAAGAGAUCUCCCAUCGUCUGAUUCACUUCCUAAAUGCCUGCAACAGCCAGGGUUGAGCCAGACCAAAGCUGAGAGCCCGGAACUCCACCUGGGUCUUGCCUGCCGCCACCUUGAGUGUGCCUUAGCAGGGAGCGGGAUAGAAAGCAGAGAAGCUGGGGCGGCGCUGUGGCACAGAGGGUUGACGCCCUGGCCUGAAGCACCGGCAUCCCAUAUGGGCACCGGUUCGAGACCCGGCUGCUCCACUUCCUAUCCGGCUCUUUGUUGUGGCCUGGGAAAGCAGUGGAGGGUGGCCCAAGUACUUGGGCCCCUGCACUGCGUGAGAGACCUGGAGGAGGCUUCUGGCUCCUGGCUUAGGAUCGGCGCAGCUCAGGUCGUUGCGGCCAGUUGGGGAGUGAACCAUUGGAUGGAGGACCUUUCUCUCUCUCUCUCUCUCUCUCUCUCUCUCUCUCUCUCUCUGCCUCUUCUCUCUCUGUGUAACUCUUUCAAGUAAAAUAAAUAAAUCUUAAAAAAAAAAAAAAAAAGAA